CUACGGGGGGCUCCAGUGGGGAAUAUUGCACAAUGGGCGAAAGCCUGAUGCAGCAACGCCGCGUGGAGGAUGACACAUUUCGGUGCGUAAACUCCUUUUAUAUAAGAAGAUAAUGACGGUAUUAUAUGAAUAAGCACCGGCUAACUCCGUGCCAGCAGCCGCGGUAAUACGGGGGGUGCAAGCGUUACUCGGAAUCACUGGGCGUAAAGAGCAUGUAGGCUGGAUGACAAGUUGGAAGUGAAAUCCUGUGGCUUAACCAUAGAACUGCUUCCAAAACUGUCUUCCUAGAGUAUGGGAGAGGUAGAUGGAAUUUCUGGUGUAGGGGUAAAAUCCGUAGAGAUCAGAAGGAAUACCGAUUGCGAAGGCGAUCUACUGGAACAUUACUGACGCUCAGAUGCGAAAGCGUGGGGAGCAAACAGGAUUAGAUAUCCCGGUAGUC
rnacentral:rRNA from 1 species